rnacentral:rRNA from 1 species
ACACAUGCAAGUCGAGCGGUAGCACAGAGAGCUUGCUCUCGGGUGACGAGCGGCGGACGGGUGAGUAAUGUCUGGGAAACUGCCUGAUGGAGGGGGAUAACUACUGGAAACGGUAGCUAAUACCGCAUAACGUCGCAAGACCAAAGUGGGGGACCUUCGGGCCUCAUGCCAUCAGAUGUGCCCAGAUGGGAUUAGCUAGUAGGUGGGGUAACGGCUCACCUAGGCGACGAUCCCUAGCUGGUCUGAGAGGAUGACCAGCCACACUGGAACUGAGACACGGUCCAGACUCCUACGGGAGGCAGCAGUGGGGAAUAUUGCACAAUGGGCGCAAGCCUGAUGCAGCCAUGCCGCGUGUGUGAAGAAGGCCUUCGGGUUGUAAAGCACUUUCAGCGGGGAGGAAGGCGGUGAGGUUAAUAACCUUGUCGAUUGACGUUACCCGCAGAAGAAGCACCGGCUAACUCCGUGCCAGCAGCCGCGGUAAUACGGAGGGUGCAAGCGUUAAUCGGAAUUACUGGGCGUAAAGCGCACGCAGGCGGUCUGUCAAGUCGGAUGUGAAAUCCCCGGGCUCAACCUGGGAACUGCAUUCGAAACUGGCAGGCUAGAGUCUUGUAGAGGGGGGUAGAAUUCCAGGUGUAGCGGUGAAAUGCGUAGAGAUCUGGAGGAAUACCGGUGGCGAAGGCGGCCCCCUGGACAAAGACUGACGCUCAGGUGCGAAAGCGUGGGGAGCAAACAGGAUUAGAUACCCUGGUAGUCCACGCCGUAAACGAUGUCGAUUUGGAGGUUGUGCCCUUGAGGCGUGGCUUCCGGAGCUAACGCGUUAAAUCGACCGCCUGGGGAGUACGGCCGCAAGGUUAAAACUCAAAUGAAUUGACGGGGGCCCGCACAAGCGGUGGAGCAUGUGGUUUAAUUCGAUGCAACGCGAAGAACCUUACCUGGUCUUGACAUCCACAGAACUUAGCAGAGAUGCUUUGGUGCCUUCGGGAACUGUGAGACAGGUGCUGCAUGGCUGUCGUCAGCUCGUGUUGUGAAAUGUUGGGUUAAGUCCCGCAACGAGCGCAACCCUUAUCCUUUGUUGCCAGCGGUCCGGCCGGGAACUCAAAGGAGACUGCCAGUGAUAAACUGGAGGAAGGUGGGGAUGACGUCAAGUCAUCAUGGCCCUUACGACCAGGGCUACACACGUGCUACAAUGGCAUAUACAAAGAGAAGCGACCUCGCGAGAGCAAGCGGACCUCAUAAAGUAUGUCGUAGUCCGGAUUGGAGUCUGCAACUCGACUCCAUGAAGUCGGAAUCGCUAGUAAUCGUAGAUCAGAAUGCUACGGUGAAUACGUUCCCGGGCCUUGUACACACCGCCCGUCACACCAUGGGAGUGGGUUGCAAAAGAAGUAGGUAGCUUAACCUUCGGGAGGGCGCUUACCAC